rnacentral:lncRNA from 1 species
CGUGUACGGCCCGCCCAUAGCUCCUUCGACGGCGCCGCCUAGGAACGCGGAGAAAAUAUGACAAAGGAACGGCCAAAAAUAAAAAGAAAGACCUUUCUUUUGAAAAAACAAACAAAAAAAAAGGAAUGCAACACGAGGACUUCCCAGGAGGUCACCCAUCCUAGUACUACUCUCGCCCAAGCACGCUUAACUUCGGAGUUCUGAUGGGAUCCGGUGCUUUAGUGCUGGUAUGAUCGCAUCCGACAUACCGUGCGUUCUCCUCCCCUUUAUGCCCGCGCCUCCGUGUACGGCCCGCCCAUAGCUCCUUCGACGGCGCCGCCUAGGAACGCGGAGAAAAUAUGACAAAGGAACGGCCAAAAAUAAAAAGAAAGACCUUUCUUUUGAAAAAACAAACAAAAAAAAGGAAUGCAACACGAGGACUUCCCAGGAGGUCACCCAUCCUAGUACUACUCUCGCCCAAGCACGCUUAACUUCGGAGUUCUGAUGGGAUCCGGUGCUUUAGUGCUGGUAUGAUCGCAUCCGACAUACCGUGCGUUCUCCUCCCCUUUAUGCCCGCGCCUCCGUGUACGGCCCGCCCAUAGCUCCUUCGACGGCGCCGCCUAGGAACGCGGAGAAAAUAUGACAAAGGAACGGCCAAAAAUAAAAAGAAAGACCUUUCUUUUGAAAAAACAAACAAAAAAAAGGAAUGCAACACGAGGACUUCCCAGGAGGUCACCCAUCCUAGUACUACUCUCGCCCAAGCACGCUUAACUUCGGAGUUCUGAUGGGAUCCGGUGCUCUAGUGCUGGUAUGAUCGCAUCCGACAUACCGUGCGUUCUCCUCCCCUUUAUGCCCGCGCCUCCGUGUACGGCCCGCCCAUAGCUCCUUCGACGGCGCCGCCUAGGAACGCGGAGAAAAUAUGACAAAGGAACGGCCAAAAAUAAAAAGAAAGACCUUUCUUUUGAAAAAACAAACAAAAAAAAAGGAAUGCAACACGAGGACUUCCCAGGAGGUCACCCAUCCUAGUACUACUCUCGCCCAAGCACGCUUAACUUCGGAGUUCUGAUGGGAUCCGGUGCUUUAGUGCUGGUAUGAUCGCAUCCGACAUACCGUGCGUUCUCCUCCCCUUUAUGCCCGCGCCUCCGUGUACGGCCCGCCCAUAGCUCCUUCGACGGCGCCGCCUAGGAACGCGGAGAAAAUAUGACAAAGGAACGGCCAAAAAUAAAAAGAAAGACCUUUCUUUUGAAAAAACAAACAAAUAAAAGGAAUGCAACACGAGGACUUCCUAGGAGGUCACCCAUCCUAGUACUACUCUCGCCCAAGCACGCUUAACUUCGGAGUUCUAAUGGGAUCCGGUGCUUUAGUGCUGGUAUGAUCGCAUCCGACAUACCGUGCGUUCUCCUCCCCUUUAUGCCCGCGCCUCCGUGUACGGCCCGCCCAUAGCUCCUUCGACGGCGCCGCCUAGGAACGCGGAGAAAAUAUGACAAAGGAACGGCCAAAAAUAAAAAGAAAGACCUUUCUUUUGAAAAAACAAACAAAAAAAAGGAAUGCAACACGAGGACUUCCCAGGAGGUCACCCAUCCUAGUACUACUCUCGCCCAAGCACGCUUAACUUCGGAGUUCUGAUGGGAUCCGGUGCUUUAGUGCUGGUAUGAUCGCAUCCGACAUACCGUGCGUUCUCCUCCCCUUUAUGCCCGCGCCUCCGUGUACGGCCCGCCCAUAGCUCCUUCGACGGCGCCGCCUAGGAACGCGGAGAAAAUAUGACAAAGGAACGGCCAAAAAUAAAAAGAAAGACCUUUCUUUUGAAAAAACAAACAAAAAAAAGGAAUGCAACACGAGGACUUCCCAGGAGGUCACCCAUCCUAGUACUACUCUCGCCCAAGCACGCUUAACUUCGGAGUUCUGAUGGGAUCCGGUGCUUUAGUGCUGGUAUGAUCGCAUCCGACAUACCGUGCGUUCUCCUCCCCUUUAUGCCCGCGCCUCCGUGUACGGCCCGCCCAUAGCUCCUUCGACGGCGCCGCCUAGGAACGCGGAGAAAAUAUGACAAAGGAACGGCCAAAAAUAAAAAGAAAGACCUUUCUUUUGAAAAAACAAACAAAAAAAAGGAAUGCAACACGAGGACUUCCCAGGAGGUCACCCAUCCUAGUACUACUCUCGCCCAAGCACGCUUAACUUCGGAGUUCUGAUGGGAUCCGGUGCUUUAGUGCUGGUAUGAUCGAAUCCGACAUACCGUGCGUUCUCCUCCCCUUUAUGCCCGCGCCUCCGUGUACGGUCCGCCCAUAGCUCCUUCGACGGCGCCGCCUAGGAACGCGGAGAAAAUAUGACAAAGGAACGGCCAAAAAUAAAAAGAAAGACCUUUCUUUUGAAAAAACAAACAAAUAAAAGGAAUGCAACACGAGGACUUCCCAGGAGGUCACCCAUCCUAGUACUACUCUCGCCCAAGCACGCUUAACUUCGGAGUUCUGAUGGGAUCCGGUGCUUUAGUGCUGGUAUGAUCGCAUCCGACAUACCGUGCGUUCUCCUCCCCUUUAUGCCCGCGCCUCCGUGUACGGCCCGCCCAUAGCUCCUUCGACGGCGCCGCCUAGGAACGCGGAGAAAAUAUGACAAAGGAACGGCCAAAAAUAAAAAGAAAGACCUUUCUUUUGAAAAAACAAACAAAUAAAAGGAAUGCAACACGAGGACUUCCCAGGAGGUCACCCAUCCUAGUACUACUCUCGCCCAAGCACGCUUAACUUCGGAGUUCUGAUGGGAUCCGGUGCUUUAGUGCUGGUAUGAUCGCAUCCGACAUACCGUGCGUUCUCCUCCCCUUUAUGCCCGCGCCUCCGUGUACGGCCCGCCCAUAGCUCCUUCGACGGCGCCGCCUAGGAACGCGGAGAAAAUAUGACAAAGGAACGGCCAAAAAUAAAAAGAAAGACCUUUCUUUUGAAAAAACAAACAAAAAAAAGGAAUGCAGCACCAGGACUUCCCGGAAGGUCACCCAUCCAAAUACAACUCUCGCCGAACCACGUUUAACUUCGAAUUUCUAAUGGAAUCCGGGGCUUUAGAGCUGGAAUGAUCGCAUCCGACAUACCGUGCGUUCUCCUCCCCUUUAUGCCCGCGCCUCCGUGUACGGCCCGCCCAUAGCUCCUUCGACGGCGCCGCCUAGGAACGCGGAGAAAAUAUGACAAAGGAGCGGCCAAAAAUAAAAAGAAAGACCUUUCUUUUGAAAAAACAAACAAAUAAAAGGAAUGCAACACGAGGACUUCCUAGGAGGUCACCCAUCCUAGUACUACUCUCGCCCAAGCACGCUUAACUUCGGAGUUCUGAUGGGAUCCGGUGCUUUAGUGCUGGUAUGAUCGCAUCCGACAUACCGUGCGUUCUCCUCCCCUUUAUGCCCGCGCCUCCGUGUACGGCCCGCCCAUAGCUCCUUCGACGGCGCCGCCUAGGAACGCGGAGAAAAUAUGACAAAGGAACGGCCAAAAAUAAAAAGAAAGACCUUUCUUUUGAAAAAACAAACGCCUCCGUGUACGGCCCGCCCAUAGCUCCUUCGACGGCGCCGCCUAGGAACGCGGAGAAAAUAUGACAAAGGAACGGCCAAAAAUAAAAAGAAAGACCUUUCUUUUGAAAAAACAAACAAAAAAAAGGAAUGCAACACGAGGACUUCCCAGGAGGUCACCCAUCCUAGUACUACUCUCGCCCAAGCACGCUUAACUUCGGAGUUCUGAUGGGAUCCGGUGCUUUAGUGCUGGUAUGAUCGCAUCCGACAUACCGUGCGUUCUCCUCCCCUUUAUGCCCGCGCCUCCGUGUACGGCCCGCCCAUAGCUCCUUCGACGGCGCCGCCUAGGAACGCGGAGAAAAUAUGACAAAGGAACGGCCAAAAAUAAAAAGAAAGACCUUUCUUUUGAAAAAACAAACAAAUAAAAGGAAUGCAACACGAGGACUUCCCAGGAGGUCACCCAUCCUAGUACUACUCUCGCCCAAGCACGCUUAACUUCGGAGUUCUGAUGGGAUCCGGUGCUUUAGUGCUGGUAUGAUCGCAUUCGACAUACCGAUGCGUUCUCAUCCCCGUUAUGCGCCGCGCCUCUGUGUACGGCCCGCCCAUAGCUCCUUUGACUGCGCCUCGUAGGAUCGCGGAGAAUAUAUGACAAAGGCACGGCCAAACAUAAAACGAAAGACCUCUCUUUUGCAACAACAAACAAAAUAAAGGAAUGCAACACGAGGACUUCCCAGGAGGUCACCCAUCCUAGUACUAGUCUCGCUCAAGCACGCUGAUCUUCGGAGUUCUGAUGGGAUCCGGUGCUUUAGUGCUGGUAUGAUCGCAUCCGACAUACCGUGCGUUCUCCUCCCCUUUAUGCCCGCGCCUCCGUGUACGGCCCGCCCAUAGCUCCUUCGACGGCGCCGCCUAGGAACGCGGAGAAAAUAUGACAAAGGAACGGCCAAAAAUAAAAAGAAAGACCUUUCUUUUGAAAAAACAAACAAAAAAAAGGAAUGCAACACGAGGACUUCCCAGGAGGUCACCCAUCCUAGUACUACUCUCGCCCAAGCACGCUUAACUUCGGAGUUCUGAUGGGAUCCGGUGCUUUAGUGCUGGUAUGAUCGCAUCCGACAUACCGUGCGUUCUCCUCCCCUUUAUGCCCGCGCCUCCGUGUACGGCCCGCCCAUAGCUCCUUCGACGGCGCCGCCUAGGAACGCGGAGAAAAUAUGACAAAGGAACGGCCAAAAAUAAAAAGAAAGACCUUUCUUUUGAAAAAACAAACAAAUAAAAGGAAUGCAACACGAGGACUUCCCAGGAGGUCACCCAUCCUAGUACUACUCUCGCCCAAGCACGCUUAACUUCGGAGUUCUGAUGGGAUCCGGUGCUUUAGUGCUGGUAUGAUCGCAUCCGACAUACCGUGCGUUCUCCUCCCCUUUAUGCCCGCGCCUCCGUGUACGGCCCGCCCAUAGCUCCUUCGACGAGCCCGCCUAGGAACGCGGAGAAAAUAUGACAAAGGAACGGCCAAAAAUAAAAAGAAAGACCUUUCUUUUGAAAAAACAAACAAAUAAAAGGAAUGCAACACGAGGACUUCCCAGGAGGUCACCCAUCCUAGUACUACUCUCGCCCAAGCACGCUUAACUUCGGAGUUCUGAUGGGAUCCGGUGCUUUAGUGCUGGUAUGAUCGCAUCCGACAUACCGUGCGUUCUCCUCCCCUUUAUGCCCGCGCCUCCGUGUACGGCCCGCCCAUAGCUCCUUCGACGGCGCCGCCUAGGAACGCGGAGAAAAUAUGACAAAGGAACGGCCAAAAAUAAAAAGAAAGACCUUUCUUUUGAAAAAACAAACAAAAAAAAGGAAUGCAACACGAGGACUUCCCAGGAGGUCACCCAUCCUAGUACUACUCUCGCCCAAGCACGCUUAACUUCGGAGUUCUGAUGGGAUCCGGUGCUUUAGUGCUGGUAUGAUCGCAUCCGACAUACCGUGCGUUCUCCUCCCCUUUAUGCCCGCGCCUCCGUGUACGGCCCGCCCAUAGCUCCUUCGACGGCGCCGCCUAGGAACGCGGAGAAAAUAUGACAAAGGAACGGCCAAAAAUAAAAAGAAAGACCUUUCUUUUGAAAAAACAAACAAAUAAAAGGAAUGCAACACGAGGACUUCCCAGGAGGUCACCCAUCCUAGUACUACUCUCGCCCAAGCACGCUUAACUUCGGAGUUCUGAUGGGAUCCGGUGCUUUAGUGCUGGUAUGAUCGCAUCCGACAUACCGUGCGUUCUCCUCCCCUUUAUGCCCGCGCCUCCGUGUACGGCCCGCCCAUAGCUCCUUCGACGGCGCCGCCUAGGAACGCGGAGAAAAUAUGACAAAGGAACGGCCAAAAAUAAAAAGAAAGACCUUUCUUUUGAAAAAACAAACAAAUAAAAGGAAUGCAACACGAGGACUUCCCAGGAGGUCACCCAUCCUAGUACUACUCUCGCCCAAGCACGCUUAACUUCGGAGUUCUGAUGGGAUCCGGUGCUUUAGUGCUGGUAUGAUCGCAUCCGACAUACCGUGCGUUCUCCUCCCCUUUAUGCCCGCGCCUCCGUGUACGGUCCGCCCAUAGCUCUUUAGUUGGCGCCUCCUAGGAACGCGGAGAAAAUAUGACAAAGGAACGGCCAAAAAUAAAAAGAAAGACCUUUCUUUUGAAAAAACAAACGCCUCCGUGUACGGCCCGCCCAUAGCUCCUUCGACGGCGCCGCCUAGGAACGCGGAGAAAAUAUGACAAAGGAACGGCCAAAAAUAAAAAGAAAGACCUUUCUUUUGAAAAAACAAACAAAAAAAAGGAAUGCAACACGAGGACUUCCCAGGAGGUCACCCAUCCUAGUACUACUCUCGCCCAAGCACGCUUAACUUCGGAGUUCUGAUGGGAUCCGGUGCUUUAGUGCUGGUAUGAUCGCAUCCGACAUACCGUGCGUUCUCCUCCCCUUUAUGCCCGCGCCUCCGUGUACGGCCCGCCCAUAGCUCCUUCGACGGCGCCGCCUAGGAACGCGGAGAAAAUAUGACAAAGGAACGGCCAAAAAUAAAAAGAAAGACCUUUCUUUUGAAAAAACAAACAAAUAAAAGGAAUGCAACACGAGGAGUUCCCAGGAGGUCACCCAUCCUAGUACUACUCUCGCCCAAGCACGCUUAACUUCGGAGUUCUGAUGGGAUCCGGUGCUUUAGUGCUGGUAUGAUCGCAUCCGACAUACCGUGCGUUCUCCUCCCCUUUAUGCCCGCGCCUCCGUGUACGGCCCGCCCAUAGCUCCUUCGAUGGCGCCGCCUAGGAACGCGGAGAAAAUAUGACAAAGGAACGGCCAAAAAUAAAAAGAAAGACCUUUCUUUUGAAAAAACAAACGCCUCCGUGUACGGCCCGCCCAUAGCUCCUUCGACGGCGCCGCCUAGGAACGCGGAGAAAAUAUGACAAAGGAACGGCCAAAAAUAAAAAGAAAGACCUUUCUUUUGAAAAAACAAACAAAAAAAAGGAAUGCAACACGAGGACUUCCCAGGAG